rnacentral:rRNA from 1 species
GAUGAACGCUGGCGGCGUGCCUAAUACAUGCAAGUCGAGCGAACGGACGAGAAGCUUGCUUCUCUGAUGUUAGCGGCGGACGGGUGAGUAACACGUGGAUAACCUACCUAUAAGACUGGGAUAACUUCGGGAAACCGGAGCUAAUACCGGAUGAUAUUUUGAACCGCAUGGUUCAAAAGUGAAAGACGGUCUUGCUGUCACUUAUAGAUGGAUCCGCGCUGCAUUAGCUAGUUGGUAAGGUAAUGGCUUACCAAGACAACGAUGCAUAGCCGACCUGAGAGGGUGAUCGGCCACACUGGAACUGAGACACGGUCCAGACUCCUACGGGAGGCAGCAGUAGGGAAUCUUCCGCAAUGGGCGAAAGCCUGACGGAGCAACGCCGCGUGAGUGAUGAAGGUCUUCGGAUCGUAAAACUCUGUUAUUAGGGAAGAACAUAUGUGUAAGUAACUGUGCACAUCUUGACGGUACCUAAUCAGAAAGCCACGGCUAACUACGUG